rnacentral:rRNA from 1 species
UUACGGUCAAAUCACGCUGAAAACACCGGUUCUCGUUCGAUCACCGAAGUUAAGCAUCGUAGAGCCAGGUCAGUACGUAGAUGGGGGACCGCUUGGGAACACCUGGUACUGUAAG